UACGUAGGGAGCAAGCGUUGUCCGGAAUCAUUGGGCGUAAAGCGCGCGUAGGCGGCCUCAUAAGUCCGUUGUGAAAGUCAAAGGCUCAACCUUUGAAAGCCGAUGGAUACUGUGAGGCUAGAGUCCGGAAGAGGCGAGUGGAAUUCCUGGUGUAGCGGUGGAAUGCGCAGAUAUCAGGAGGAACACCAAUAGCGAAGGCAGCUCGCUGGGACGGUACUGACGCUAAGGCGCGAAAGCGUGGGGGAGCGAACAGG
rnacentral:rRNA from 1 species